CACGUUUCCUCUCUGUAUUGCACCAACAAAACACUUUUUCCACACUCAAGCUCAUUUCCUUCCCUUUCCCUCUCUAAACCGGUAACCCUCUCUUCUCUUCCAAAUCGACCACUUCUCUCUCUCCCCCUCUUUCUUUCUCUUCGGCUCUCCUUCUUCUUCCUCCCUCGUCCUGCUUCUUUUCUUCCUUUGUUUACAAACUUUCCUCUUUUAUCUGAAAUCUCCUAUCAGUUCAUUUUUUUCUUUAAUCCUUCAAGAGUCCCAAUCGAUUUGGGGUUAAAUGGGUGAAUUUGUGAGAGAGAAAUUGAGCGAUUAUACCCUAUUUGUGAAUAUGUUUAUGAUUUUUCAUGGAAAUUUGUAAUUAAACAUGUGAGUUGUUGAGAAGGAGAAGAGGAAGCUCAGAGGUUUCAUUGUUGAGAAGAGAUGCGUUCCUCUUAUGCUCCUUUUGACGCAAGUUCUAUUUUAUGACACUCUGCUGAAACUUUUGAUUCAAAGACAAAGACUCGUGGUCCGUUCAGAACCAUCAAGCACCAAGUUGAGCUUGCUCGUGGUGCUGGUAUUGGGUGCUAACAACGGUCUUCAUAUUGCUGUUAGCUUGUGGAGCAUCAUAAGGAACAAUUCCCAAUCAUUAGAUUUCAGCUUAAGGCAUCACAAGUUCGAGUUUGAGGCCGAUUUAAAGAGAUAGAUCUAAUAAGGAGUAUUUUUGGAAUCACAGGCUGCUUUCACUUUACUUUCCCCGGGAUAAACAUGAGGAGCAAGUUGCUUUGUCAAAACUUCCUGCAGAUGUGGGGAUGAAAAUGGUGAGACCAUCAUAGAUGAGCGUAAAAUCAGAAUAAAGCCUUUACCUAUAAAGAGUGUUUCAAGAUCACCUGAUGCUGCAGUUGAUAUUCCUGUCAGCGAUAUUAGCCUCGUUCGAAAUUAUGAAGUGGGGGCACCUUUAGUAUGAAGUGGGGACGCCAUUUGCUGAAUGGCGGUGAGAAUCGUCGCUACUUUGGAUUUGAAAGCCAACCUUUGAUCAGAGGGCAGAUGAGGUAUCAAAUAGGCAACGGUCAUAUUGGAGUGACUAUGAAAGCAAAACUUUAUCACUUGCUAGAGCUAAGGAAUGAAAAGAGGUCACCGUGGGAGCGGCGUGAACUCUAUCAGAUCAUGACUGAUGGAAGACGAAAGAUCUAAAUUGCAAGUAAAAAUGUUCAAUAAAAUCAUUUUCAAUUGGGAAUAUGUCAAGAAUGAGCUCAAUAUAAUCAUAUGCUUUUCUGUGCAUUACAAUGUAUAUAAGUUACCAUUCAUUGUUACCCCUAAAGACUUUGAAUUAUUCAUCUGGCAUGUUGCUUAUUGAUUGGCCUAUAAUCCGCUUAUUUUCACAAUCUUUUAAGACAUUUUGCAGAUUGCAGUAAAGUCUGGAUAUUUGAAGAUUCUUAUUAGAGGAAUUUUAAAUUCUGCUAGCCAGAAGAUUACUGUAUCUUCUGCAAAGACCUCAGCAUUGCUGGCUUAAAUUUACCACUGUCAAAAGAUAAAUAGACAUGUUUCGAUUCAGGAAACAACCUGAUCACAUUCAUACAUUAGGUCACAUGUACUUGGUGCAAUUUAUUAUGGCCAGCAAAUUCCUCAAGGGUUCUUAGUUUGAUAGGUUGUUGCAAUUGUAGAAGUAAAACUGAGACUUGUGUGCGGCCUCAUGGCAUCGCCAAAAUUGUAAACAUGAUCAUUCAUCAAUAUAGAUGAAAUUCUUUUGUUUUGAAAUUACUCAUAGACAAUUUAUGGUGUAGUUCUUUGAAUCAUGUUACACCAUUACAUGUUUCUUAGAUUUUAAUUAAGAAACAUUAUGUUACUAUUAUUCAUACGGAACAUUGCGAUUCAUCAUAGUCAAAACAAUUAGAACAUGAAGAAAGAUGUUUCUUUUAAAGAGGAUCAAUUGGUUAAAUAUAUUAACUAAUUAUAGUCAAAAUAUUACGUUAAAAUACACUCUUCGGUUGGGUUAGUUUGGUUGAGGGCUGCUGCUGGUCUGUAAUUGCAGCACCUGUUUUUCUGCUACUAGGUGCUUUUUUUUCUGCUACUGGGUGUUUUGCUUUGGCUGCUGCGCUGCAUCAGUAAGGCAUGCAGCGUUUUUUGCUUAUGCUGGGCUGGUGUUGCUUGUGUUGUUUGGGUGCUCGGUGGAGUCUUUGCAGGUCCGUGGAUAGUGUGAGCUAUGGUUUUGUAUUUCGGUGGUAAUUGUGCCUGAUUACAGUCACAUAAUUCUCACAAUACAAGUAUGUAAACUGAGUUUUGUGUUUGUUACAAGUAUAAUACCCCUUUGUGGAGUUGGCUAAUCAAAUACUUUAGGUAAUUUAUGGAAGUAUAAUACCCCUUUGAUUGUACUCUUUCUCAUCAGUUUAGGCAGUCUGGAUGGUUAAUAAUAUUUGAUUAAAGGUACAAUCUCAAUAGUUAGUAUCAGUGUUAGGUAAUUGGUUCAGCUUCUAACACAAUUUAAGAUAGGAUAAUAAUGGAGAGCAUUUGAGGGUAAAGCUUGGUUCUUCAUCAACAUAUUUGAUUUGAUGGCAUCUGAGGAUAGUCCUGUUCUUUAAGUCACUUGCUUACCAUAAUUCAAAAUUUUACUUUUUACAAUCUCAUAACUCAGCACUCUCUAAGAUACACAUGACUUUUCUCUUCCUCUGUGUACUUCCUGCAUCCUCAUCUCUCCUAAUCCUCUCUUCCUCUGUGUACUUCCUGCAUCUUCAUCUCUCCUAAUCCUCUCUUCCUUCUUUCUCUACAUUUUUUCUACUUUUUUUUUCUUUCUUUUGCUGAAUGUUGACGAUGAGCUUAGUUCCACUGCAGGUAGUGAUUAAGAGCACAAGCACAACAGCAGAGGUUGGACAAAGGUUACCACAAAUGGAAUAGCCUCAAGGGUUGAUGGAUAUGGUGUUGAUCUCAAGAAAGUGGUAGAAAAAGUAGAACAUGGUUUGUAACUGGCCUGGGCUAAGAAGAAUAAGAAACUCUUCUGGGUGGCUGCAAUUUCUGUUUACAUUACAAGGGCAGACAAGGACGGAGUAGCAAUUGUGAGACAUAUUAAGAAGGAUGUGAAUCCAUUAUCUGUUAAUCAAUUAAUUUUCAGUGGAAAACAUCUUAGUGCUGGUAUUCGGAUUGGUUUGAUUUCUGGUAUGGUAGCACUCACGGUAAGCAG